rnacentral:rRNA from 1 species
UAGGGAAUCUUCGGCAAUGGGGGGAACCCUGACCGAGCAACGCCGCGUGAGUGAAGAAGGAUUUCGGUUCGUAAAGCUCUGUUGUUAAGGAAGAACGAGUGUGAGAAUGGAAAGUUCAUACUGUGACGGUACUUAACCAGAAAGGGACGGCUAACUACGUGCCAGCAGCCGCGGUAAUACGUAGGUCCCGAGCGUUGUCCGGAUUUAUUGGGCGUAAAGCGAGCGCAGGCGGUUAGAUAAGUCUGAAGUUAAAGGCAGUGGCUCAACCAUUGUAGGCUUUGGAAACUGUUUAACUUGAGUGCAGAAGGGGAGAGUGGAAUUCCAUGUGUAGCGGUGAAAUGCGUAGAUAUAUGGAGGAACACCGGUGGCGAAAGCGGCUCUCUGGUCUGUAACUGACGCUGAGGCUCGAAAGCGUGGGGAGCGAACAGG